GGAGAGGGAGCGUGAGAAACGGCUACCACAUCUAAGGAAGGCAGCAGGCGCGUAAAUUACCCACUCCCAGUUCGGGGAGGUAGUGACGAAAAAUAACAAUACAGGACUCAUAUCCGAGGCCCUGUAAUUGGAAUGAGUACACUUUAAAUCCUUUAACAAGGACCAAUUGGAGGGCAAGUCUGGUGCCAGCAGCCGCGGUAAUUCCAGCUCCAAUAGCGUAUAUUAAAGUUGUUGCGGUUAAAACGUUCGUAGUUGAAUUUGUGCUUCAUAUUGGUAGUACAACUAUAAUUGUGGAUUGUACAUUACUUUAUUUAUGCAAGCGUAUUACCGGUGGAGUUCUAAUAUAUAAUGGUCAUUGUAUCAUUAUGUAUACCUCCUAUUUAAACCUGCUUCAGUGCUCUUCAUCGAGUGUUGUUGUGGGCCGGUACAGUUACUUUGAACAAAUUAGAGUGCUUAAAGCAGGCUCCAAAUGCCUGAAUAUUUUGUGCAUGGAAUAAUGAAAUAAGACCUCUGUUCUACUUUCAUUGGUUUUUAGAUCAAGAGGUAAUGAUUAAUAGAAGCAGUUUGGGGGCAUUAGUAUUACGACGCGAGAGGUGAAAUUCUUGGACCGUCGUAAGACUAACUUAAGCGAAAGCAUUUGCCAAAGAUGUUUUCAUUAAUCAAGAACGAAAG
rnacentral:rRNA from 1 species